rnacentral:lncRNA from 1 species
AUCACCUUUUGAGACUGUAAAUAACUCCCUUCCUUCAUCCUUCAUUUACAUUAUUAUUUCCUUAAAGUUAUUUGUAGACUGAUAUAAUUUUCUCUGACCUUUCCUCUUUUAGAAUACUUUGCUUAACCCUGUCACCCCCUCACCUCUGUUUCUGCUGCUUAAACAUUAUCAUUCUUUUCUCCUCCCUGUUACACUUUCUCUAAAGCUUCCCUUAGCUUUGGGGACCAGAACUGCAGGCAGACAGGCAGAUUCUCCACCCACUGAUCAAUCUGAGGUAAUGGUUUGUAAUUCAGGAAUGAGGACCUUCAGGUGCUACCAGGAAACACUUUCUGGUGUUGCAGACUGCUUCCAUGGAUGCAAAACCCUAAGAUCCAAGACCCUCUCCCAGAGCUGCAAGGUGAAAGAGGCAUGACUGGGGAAGUGAAGAUCAUUCCACAGAGUUCAAAAACAGCCCUCACCAUGUGCACUGUGUUCCAAGUGAAGGAGAGUAUGAACUAUCCUGAAAAGCAAAGCACGUAGAUAAGAAAAAGAUGAAAUGAAUCUCAGUGCAAGAUUAUGGAAUGGUCUGCUAUGAGAAGCUGUGGAAGCUCAAGACUGACUCACUGAGCAACACUCCAAAAAUGCUGGAAUUGGUAAG